UUCCACGGUCCUACGUCAUGGCCAAUCCCAGCGCCCCACGGCACGACCCUACGAUCCACAUUGGCCACGCUCGUGCCGGUUUCCGCGUUUUCUGGCGUUGCGUCAUGGCCGCUCCCUGGGUUCUCAGGACUCCCUCUUUUGGGUCCGCUCUCAGCAGUCCACGCUCCCUGCCCUCCCUCUGCUGGCGGAACUCGGUCGCGGGAAGCUGUUCAGGAGCGGGCGGGGCUCUUGUGUUUCCGGAGAAAACAGCCUACACCUCAGAGCUGGACGUCUGUGGCAUUUAUAAAGUGAAAGAAGUCUUUGCAUCCCUAAUCCUCGUCUGAAAAUAGUCUUUCUUCCUAUUUCCUCCCAGCUCCAACCGGAUUUAAAAGUGGUCCACCAGAUCCAGCCGAAGAGCUGCACUCCCAUUAGAAUAAGGAAGAGAACAAGGGUCCAUGUUAUUCCACCAUUACGAUUCUGGUAGUGCUGCGAUAAUGAGACAGAACAAGAGCUUCACACAAGAAGAGCCAAGGCUAAAGCAGCAAUGACGUGGAAUCUGGGCACUGACUUCAUGAAGGGGCAGCAUGGUAGAGAGGAAAGCCCUGACAUCAACCUGCCUGGGCGGCUUCUGCUGACAUCCAUGAAUGUCCGUUUUGACCAAGGCUGACAAGUGAAGGCCCAGGGCAGGUCAGUGCGGCGCAGGCGGGGUUCUGGUGACACCCACUCCCUCCUCCCAUGGCCACCGCUGCCUCGAACACCAGAUCCUCGUUUCCCUGGCAUCUGAGAUGAUUCCAGCAACAGCGACUGGGAGGUGCUGUUUUGAGGAUGAGAGAAUCCAGCAAACCUAGUUCAUGGCGGGAAGCUCUUAAUGACUGUUCUCUGGCGCGCUAACCAACGUGGUUGCUAGUCACAUGUUUCUACAUAAAUUAAAUUAAUAGAAAAUUGAGUUUCUCUGCAGCCCAGCCCCAUUCCAGGUGGUCAGUGGCCACCUACGGCUACCAAGUUGGAUAGUGCAGAUAUAGAACAUUUCCAUCAUCGCAGAAUGUUCCACUGGACAGCACCGGUCUGUACCAUUAACUUUGAAUCUACACAACCGCCAGAACUUAGGGCUGACCAGAAUGAUUCCCUUUGAGGUGGGAGCGCUCCCCAGAUGUUUACCUGUGGAGGUGAGAGUCAGGUGAGGCCAUUCUUGGAAGGGUGUCUUUUGUUCCCCAGAGAUAGAAAGGGGUGAUGUUUGUUUUCCACAUGAAGGGAGCUUAUCAAGGACCGGCUAUUUUAGCCCGGGAAAGGUGGAAAGGUGAGACUGAGGAAACCAUUCAGAGAGGGCCGGGUUCUUUCCAUGGCGCCCUUAGCCAGGGGAGCACAGAAGGGGCGGAGGCGGAUUCCGUCUGGAGUCAGCAGAGGAAGCAGCCGCUGGAGGUAGAGUUCAGAAAGGACAACUAAUCUGUUUUCCAAACAGAUUUUGGUAAAUAACUGACAGGAGAUGGGCUGCUUCUCUGUAAGUAUUAACCCAAAUAAUGGGGUUU